ACGCUUUGUGGUUCAACUGAUUUGAAGAGCUUGCUCAGAUAUGACGAUGGACAUUGCAAAGAGUGGCGAACGGGUGAGUAACACGUGGGAAACCUACCUCUUAGCAGGGGAUAACAUUUGGAAACAGAUGCUAAUACCGUAUAACAAUAGCAACCGCAUGGUUGCUACUUAAAAGAUGGUUCUGCUAUCACUAAGAGAUGGUCCCGCGGUGCAUUAGUUAGUUGGUGAGGUAAUGGCUCACCAAGACGAUGAUGCAUAGCCGAGUUGAGAGACUGAUCGGCCACAAUGGGACUGAGACACGGCCCAUACUCCUACGGGAGGCAGCAGUAGGGAAUCUUCCACAAUGGGCGAAAGCCUGAUGGAGCAACGCCGCGUGUGUGAUGAAGGGUUUCGGCUCGUAAAACACUGUUGUAAGAGAAGAAUGACAUUGAGAGUAACUGUUCAAUGUGUGACGGUAUCUUACCAGAAAGGAACGGCUAAAUACGUGCCAGCAGCCGCGGUAAUACGUAUGUUCCAAGCGUUAUCCGGAUUUAUUGGGCGUAAAGCGAGCGCAGACGGUUAUUUAAGUCUGAAGUGAAAGCCCUCAGCUCAACUGAGGAAUUGCUUUGGAAACUGGAUGACUUGAGUGCAGUAGAGGAAAGUGGAACUCCAUGUGUAGCGGUGAAAUGCGUAGAUAUAUGGAAGAACACCAGUGGCGAAGGCGGCUUUCUGGACUGUAACUGACGUUGAGGCUCGAAAGUGUGGGUAGCAAACAGGAUUAGAUACCCUGGUAGUCCACACCGUAACGAUGA
rnacentral:rRNA from 1 species